GGGCAGAUGGCCGAGUGGUCUAAGGCGCUGCGUUUAGGUCCGUUCUAAACAUCCUCCGCAGUCAGUAAUGGGUAUGUUCCAUGUGUCACUUCAUUAAAAUCACCGCUAACUUUCAUAGCGUGGGUUCGAAUCCCACUCUGCUCA